CUUUUGUGGCUGGUAGCAAUGAGUCAGGUUAGAGCAGACUGAUGGGGCAAGGGGGAAAGGACAUUUUUCUUUUCAAAGAAAGCAGUGUUGGAAAUAGGAAGGAGCAUCGAGUGGCUCUUGUGCCACGUGUCAGCACUGCUUCACAAACGCCACGGUGCUGCUCUUCAGUCCUGCUGCACACCCUGGUCAUCCUACAGUACUCUGCAACCACAGCUGGGCUGUCAGCUGGAAGAGUCUCAGGGGAGUCAACCUUGUUGGAGUGACAGAUGUGACAGUGCUGGAGGUUUGCA
rnacentral:lncRNA from 12 species